rnacentral:rRNA from 1 species
GGCGAACGGGUGAGGAAUGCAUGGGCAACCUACCCUCGAGUGGGGAAUAACUAGCCGAAAGGUUAGCUAAUACCGCGUACGCUCCCUGGACUUCGGUCCGGGGAGGAAAGCGAUACCGUGGGUAUCGCGCUCCUGGAUGGGCUCAUGUCCUAUCAGCUUGUUGGUGAGGUAACGGCUCACCAAGGCUUCGACGGGUAGCUGGUCUGAGAGGACGAUCAGCCACACUGGCACUGCGACACGGGCCAGACUCCUACGGGAGGCAGCAGUAAGGAAUAUUGCGCAAUGGGCGAAAGCCUGACGCAGCGACGCCGCGUGGGGGAUGAAGGUCUUCGGAUUGUAAACCCCUUUCGGGAGGGAAGAUGGAACGAGCAAUCGUUCGGACGGUACCUCCAGGAGCAGCCACGGCUAACUUCGUGCCAGCAGCCGCGGUAAUACGAAGGUGGCAAGCGUUGUUCGGGUUUACUGGGCGUACAGGGAGCGUAGGCGGUUCGGUAAGCCCUUUGUGAAAUCUCCAGGCUUAACCUGGAACAGUCGGAGGGGACUGCUGGGCUAGAGGACGGGAGAGGAGCGCGGAAUUCCCGGUGUAGCGGUGAAAUGCGUAGAGAUCGGGAGGAAGGCCGGUGGCGAAGGCGGCUACCUGGCCCACUCUUGACGCUGAGGCGCGAAAGCUAGGGGAGCGAACGGGAUUAGAUACCCCGGUAGUCC